AAAUGAUUCUGAGAGAGAGAGAGAGAGGGGGAGAGAGAGAGAGAGAGAGAGAGAGAGAGAGAGAGAGAGAGAGAGAGAGAGAGAGAGAGAGAGAGAGAGAGAGAGAGAGAGAGAGAGAGAGAGAGAGAGAGAGAGAGAGGAUCUUUCCCAGGACAACACACACACAUGCGUGCAAGAAAGGGAGGACGGGAGAUCCCAUCCAUUCUUCCUCCUCCUACCUCCUCUUCCUACUCUCAUUAUCCUCAUCCUAUCCUCUUCAUCCUACCUCCUCCUCCACUUCCUCCUACCCUCUGCCUCCUCACUCUUCCUCCUCCUAUCAAGAUAAAGGUGAUGAGAGGAGAAAGAAGAAAAAGAUAGAGGGGUAUCUGACAACACUGCAAAUCAAAAUCAUGUGGAACCUACCCUUGCUCCCACAAUACAAAUAAAGGAAAAAUGGUAACAUAGGGCUAACAGUCUCCCCUUUACAAGUCCCUCUGUCUCUCUGUACUGGGGUCAUUCCACCUGUACAAGGGUCUGUCUCUCUGCACAGGAGUCUGUCUCUCUGUACGGGGGUCUGUCUCUCUGUACAGAGGUCUGUCCCUCUGUACAGGGGUCUGUCUCUCUGUACAGGGGUCUGUCUCUCUGUACAGGAGUCUGUCUCUGUACAGGCGUCUAUCUCUCUGUACAGAGGUCUGUCUCUCUGUACAGGGGUCUGUCUGUCUGUACGGGGGUCUGUCUGUACAGAGGUCUGUCUCUCUGUACAGGCGUCUGUCUCUCUGUACAGGUGUCUGUCUCUCUGUACAGGUGUCUGUCUCUUUGUACAGGAGUCUGUCUCUCUGGAGAGGCGUCUGUCUCUCUGUACAGGAGUCUGUCUCUCUGUUCUGCCUGUGUUUGGCUUCACAGCAGCGGCCCAGAGCCACCACUGAUCUCACCGGGACAACACAUGACAUGGUCGUUGGAGCACUUUUAUACUGUACCUCAUCUUUUUUCCUGGGGAAGAUAUAGGACCCUGAGUCAUGGGAACGCCGGCCUCCUUCCUGUCUCCGGGCUCCUCCUGGCGUGGUUCUCCAACACUUUAUAUACUUCAGGUAUAAAAAAAGAACCUCUCCAGAGAGGACCUAAUUAGUCAUCUCUUAAUGAAAACCGACCCCCCCCCCCACACCACCCCCUCCCUGGCCUCCUGCUGAUGUUUCCAGACGGCACAUGUUUGUGCAGACGGAGUCGGGGGCUAGCCUGCGACGAGCUACCGUAGAGCGGCUCUUUCAUUAGCGCAGCAACAACACAUAUAUUACCGCCGCUGUCACGGCCCCUCGGACCGCCCUUUGAACACGGUGCUUCAGGCGGGGGGCGUCCAUCAUCGGGAGGGUCGACGCCCUAAAGGGUGAGCAAUGGCUUCACUUAACGCCCCGACGUGACUUUUAUUAGUGUUCUCAGCCGGGACACUCCAUCAGCCUUAAGUAUUUAUAUAACUCGAGCCUGAGCAAGCCACGUGAAGAGUAGGGCUUUUUUGGGGUCUUCAAAAGGAAACAAGCGUAGCCUCCAACCUUCAGUAUAUCUGAAGUAAGCUCCGUCCAUAGCUGAAUCCGAGUAGACGGGCCAGGGCGCCCCCACAUAAACCUGCGUAUGCAGAUAAUACGCACUCUGGUGAACUGUACAGAUCUGUUUGUGCGGCAUGGGACUUGAGGGGGGGGGAGUGGUGUAGCAGCAUCUGUUCUGGUUGUUGGAUUGAGAUCAGAGUCGGUGGGGGGCACCGGGGCAGACAGAGGUAACAGUAGCCCAGUCACGGGGCAGUGGUGGGACUGGGGCUACAGAUGGCUGCUCCGUUGGACUCCGCGCCCGAGGUUCGGCCGAGGGGAGCUGAACAGCAGAUUCAAACAAACUUCAUGCAGAUGUAGGCCUACACAUUCCUACCAGAAGCAUCCCAAAGCUUUUUGGGUUUGAGUCACACUUAGCGUUAUUUCCCUUUGAAGAGAUUGUAAAAUGGUUGUCUCAUCUCUCUCUUUCUCACCCUCCUCUUCCUCACCUACAGGAUCUAUAACACUUUGAGGGAGUGCAUCAAGGACUGGAGCGGAAGGACCCUGUGUAACAACUGGCGCUACGUGGCGGAGGGCAUCUACCUGGACAUCCACGACAAGUUCUUCUCCAAGUGCGGGCCUCCAGUGCCCCUCAAAGACCCCCCCCUCACCAUCAUGGUCCUGCUCAUCUCCCCGGGGAUCAUCUUCACCCUGCUCCUGCCCCUGCUCUGCCUCCCCCUUACCACCUUCCACAAGGAGAUGCCCGGCACCCUGGGGCUCUGAGGCAUGGGACACACACUUAGUUUAGAUGUGUGUGUGUGGGUGUCUAUCUUUUUGUGCAAAUGGGCAUAUACAAUGUAUUAUGAUGUAUGCAAGUGAACACAGACACUCACAGGCACACUGGUUUACAGUCAUCACUUGCAAAGUGCCUUAGGAUUAUUCAAAGGUGCUACAUAAAUGUAUUUUAUUAUGAUUAAUAUAUGUGCACAAAUGCAUGAACGUGGGACAGGCAGGCACACGCACGCACGCGCACACACGCUUUGUGCAUGUGUGUGUGGUUGUGUGUCCAUGACGGCAAAAUAUACUUUGCCGUCUUCAAACCAUAGCCAUGUAUGUGAGUGGACAGCAACAAGUAACCAACCACAUGUCUUUCAAUAUAUAUAUAUACAUUGUGUAAAUAUAUAUAUAUAUAUAUAUAAUAUAUAUAUAUAUAUAUAUAUACACACACACACACACACACACACACACACACACACACACACACACACACACACACACACACACACACACACACACACACACACACAUAUAUAUAAAAUACAAUGCAAAUAUGC
ensembl:lncRNA